rnacentral:misc_RNA from 1 species
UUUCCGUAGGAGAACCUGUGGAACGAUCAUUGUCGUGACCCUGACCAAAAUAGACCGCGCUCGCGUCAUCCAAUCCGCCAGCAACGGCACCGUCCGUCGCUCGGCCAAGUCCUCGACCACCUCCCCUGCUCGGAGUGGGGGCUCAGGGUAAAAGAACCCACGGCACCGAAGGCGUCAAGGAACACUGUGCCUAACCCGGGGGCAUGGCUAGCUUGUUAGUCGUCCCCCGUGUUGCAAAACUAUUUAAUCCACACGACUGUCAGCAACGGAUAUCUUGGCUCUC